rnacentral:rRNA from 1 species
UAUGAUGCGAGGUUAAGUUGAAGAGACGGAGCCGUAGGGAAACCGAGUCUUAAAAGGGCGCUUUAGUAUCAUGGUGUAGACCCGAAACCAUGUGACCUACCCAUGAGCAGGUUGAAGGUGAGGUAAAACUCACUGGAGGACCGAACCAGGGCACGUUGAAAAGUGCUUGGAUGACUUGUGGGUAGCGGAGAAAUUCCAAACGAACUUGGAGAUAGCUGGUUCUCUCCGAAAUAGCUUUAGGGCUAGCGUCGAUGUUAAGUCUCUUGGAGGUAGAGCACUGUUUGGGUGAGGGGUCCAUCCCGGAUUACCAAUCUCAGAUAAACUCCGAAUGCCAAUGAGAUAUAAUCGGCAGUCAGACUGCGAGUGCUAAGAUCCGUAGUCGAAAGGGAAACAGCCCAGACCACCAGCUAAGGUCCCAAAAUAACUGUUAAGUGGAAAAGGAUGUGGGGUUGCACAGACAACUAGGAUGUUAGCUUAGAAGCAGCUAUUCAUUCAAAGAGUGCGUAAUAGCUCACUAGUCGAGUGACCCUGCGCCGAAAAUGUACCGGGGCUAAAACAGUUUACCGAAGCUGUGGAUGACACGAAGUGUCAUGGUAGGAGAGCGUUCUAUGUGCGACGAAGGUAUACCGUGAGGAGUGCUGGAGCGCAUAGAAGUGAGAAUGCCGGUAUGAGUAGCGCAAGACAGGUGAGAAUCCUGUCCACCGUAAGACUAAGGUUUCCAGGGGAAGGCUCGUCCGCCCUGGGUUAGUCGGGUCCUAAGGAGAGACCGAAAGGUGUAUCCGAUGGCCAACAGGUUGAUAUUCCUGUACUAGAGUAUAUAGUGAUGGAGGGACGCAGUAGGCUAACUAAACCGGACGAAUGGAAGAGUCCGGCUAAUCAGUGAGGUGUGAGAUGAGUUAAAUGCUUAUCUCUAUAACAUUGAGCUGUGAUGGGGAGCGAAGUUUAGUAGCGAAGUUAGUGAUGUCACACUGCCAAGAAAAGCUUCUAGCGUUUAAGUAUACUCUACCCGUACCGCAAACCGACACAGGUAGUCGAGGCGAGUAGCCUCAGGUGAGCGAGAGAACUCUCGUUAAGGAACUCGGCAAAAUGACCCCGUAACUUCGGGAGAAGGGGUGCUGUCAUAAGACAGCCGCAGUGAAUAGGCCCAAGCAACUGUUUAUCAAAAACACAGCUCUCUGCUAAAUCGUAAGAUGAUGUAUAGGGGGUGACGCCUGCCCGGUGCUGGAAGGUUAAGAGGAGUGCUUAGACAAUAGUCGAAGGUAUGAAUUGAAGCCCCAGUAAACGGCGGCCGUAACUAUAACGGUCCUAAGGUAGCGAAAUUCCUUGUCGGGUAAGUUCCGACCCGCACGAAAGGCGUAAUGAUUUGGGCACUGUCUCAACGAGAGACUCGGUGAAAUUUUAGUACCUGUGAAGAUGCAGGUUACCCGCGACAGGACGGAAAGACCCCAUGGAGCUUUACUGCAGUUUGAUAUUGAGUAUCUGUACCACAUGUACAGGAUAGGUAGGAGCCUAGGAAGUUGGAACGCCAGUUUCAAUGGAGGCGUUGUUGGGAUACUACCCUUGUGUUAUGGCUACUCUAACCCAGAUAGGUUAUCCCUAUCGGAGACAGUGUCUGACGGGCAGUUUGACUGGGGCGGUCGCCUCCUAAAAGGUAACGGAGGCGCCCAAAGGUUCCCUCAGACUGGUUGGAAAUCAGUCGCAGAGUGUAAAGGUAUAAGGGAGCUUGACUGCGAGAGCAACAACUCGAGCAGGGACGAAAGUCGGGCUUAGUGAUCCGGUGGUUCCGUAUGGAAGGGCCAUCGCUCAACGGAUAAAAGCUACCCUGGGGAUAACAGGCUUAUCUCCCCCAAGAGUUCACAUCGACGGGGAGGUUUGGCACCUCGAUGUCGGCUCGUCGCAUCCUGGGGCUGUAGUCGGUCCCAAGGGUUGGGCUGUUCGCCCAUUAAAGCGGCACGCGAGCUGGGUUCAGAACGUCGUGAGACAGUUCGGUCCCUAUCCGUCGCGGGCGUAGGAAAUUUGAGAGGAUCUGCUCCUAGUACGAGAGGACCAGAGUGGACUUACCGCUGGUGUACCAGUUGUCU